rnacentral:lncRNA from 1 species
ACAAAUUAAACACAAACAUUCAAAAACUGAAGCUGUCGUCAACUUUAAAUAUUCUUUGUAUUGAUUAUUUUAUAAGAAGACUUUAAAUAUUCGGCAACUUCAGUUAAAGAUUUCAAGCUAUCGGAAUGAACAGUAAAAAAGUAUCGAUUUCAAACCUUCAUACCACCAACCAUAAUCAGUUAAGUAAAAUGACAGUCAUUGACAAAGACUUCUAAUACAUAAGAAAUUAUUUCAUUCAAUGAUAUUUAUUUUAGUUCACAUUUUAAAUUAAAGUAUGCAUCCAAAGAAGUAAUAAAUAACUUAAAGUUAAUUCUCAUUUUUAAAACAAACUCCCAACAAACAAUUAGAAUUUAAAAGGAAAAACCCCAAUCUAGCUGGGAUAAGACCAAAUCAUGAGUUUGGACAUAAAGUUCAUGUGGUGUAGGUUUCUUUCAAAAACUCAUUACAGCUAAGCAAAUGCUAUGUAAUUAGCUAAAGAAGCAUAAAAUAGGUUUUAUUUCUAUCAUUUGUCCCACAAUCUCAACAACCAAUCAGGUAACAAAGCAAGUACUGCUCGGAACAAAAAAUAUUUUUAAACUAUACCAACACAAAAAUCAAUCUUUACGUCUCAAAUGUGAGAAAUUGAACAAAACCCACAAUUCCAACCCCC